rnacentral:rRNA from 1 species
CAGUAGCCGCGGUAAUACGUAGGUGGCAAGCGUUGUCCGGAAUUAUUGGGCGUAAAGGGCUCGCAGGCGGUUUCUUAAGUCUGAUGUGAAAGCCCCCGGCUCAACCGGGGAGGGUCAUUGGAAACUGGGAAACUUGAGUGCAGAUGAGGAGAGUGGAAUUCCACGUGUAGCGGUGAAAUGCGUAGAGAUGUGGAGGAACACCAGUGGCGAAGGCGACUCUCUGGUCUGUAACUGACGCUGAGGAGCGAAAGCGUGGGGAGCGAACAGGAUUAGAUACCCCAGUAGUCCCUGUCUCUUAUAC